CCUCUGCCAAGCACCUCGGCGCUGAGACUUUGCUCACUGCCCCCUUUCUCUUCGGUGCCUGGAAUCCCUAAUUUCCCCUUUGAUCACUAUGAAUUUGCCUAUUUUAUGUGUUUCAGAUGACAGAAAUUGAAGAAUACCUGUCCCUGUUGCCUGGCUUACUUCAGUUAGCAUGAUGUUCUCAAGGGUCAACCAUUGUUACUGUUUGGAUGCUGAACAUUCUCUGUGAGUCCAAGUAGAAAAGGCGUGGUGACCAGGUGGCAUUGUUGAGAGAUGCUUAGUUAGGGUUCUACUGUUGUGAACAGACACUGUGACCAAGGCAAGUCUUAUAAAGACAACAUUUAAUUGGGGCUGGCUUACUGUGCGGUCCAUUAUCAUCAAGGUGGGAGCAUGGCAGCAUCUAAGCAGGCAUGGUGCAGGAGGAGCUGAGAGUUCUACAUCUUCAGCUGAAGGCUUCUAGGAGAAGACUACCUUCCAGGCAGCUAUGAUGAGAGUUUUCAAACCUGUGCCCACAGCUGCAUACCUACUCUAACAAGGUUACACUUACUACAACAAGGCCACAGUUUCAAAUAAUGCCACUCCCUGGGUUAGGCAUACUCAAACAGAUGCCAUGACCCCUUAAGAGGUGGAAGCUUAUAACAGGUAUUGAAGACAUGCCCUCAAAGGGGAUUCUAGGACUGACUACCUUCCCGUUCUCUUUUGCUUUUUGUCCCUGUCUUUGAGGUAACCAGUGUCCUCCAUUCUGGUCUUCUUUACCAUUACCAUCCAACAUGUCCACCAGGGGUCCACAGCAACAGAUCUGCCUGAUUGUAGGCUGAGACCUCCAAGGCUGAGUAAAAACUCAGGGGUGAGAUCUUCAGCGAAAAAAUGUGAAGAAGACGUGAUUCAAAUCAUUACAGGUGAUGGUAUUCUACUUGCUGACUUAGGGGAUGGUUUUAGAGGCGUAUUAGUUUCUUUUCUGUUGCUGUGAUUAAACACCCUCGCAAAGGCAGCUUAAGAGAGAAAGGGUUUAUUUAUUUGGCUGGCUCACAGAUUUCACAGGAAAUAUAGUGCACAGUGGCAGAGGAGGCGUGGUGCUAGCAGCGUGAGACAGGAAGCAGAGGGAAAAAAAAGAGGAAGUUGCAUGCUGGUGUUUAAAACCACCUAGCUGAGACCUCCUAGCUGGGUAGUGAUGCAUGUCUUUAAUGCCAGCACUUAGGAGGCAGAGGCUGGCAGAUCUCUGAGUUUGAGACCAGCCUGGUCUAUGGAGCAAGUUCCAUGACAGCCAGGGCUACACAGAGAAACCUGUCUCAAAAAUCCAACCAACCAACUAACUAACUAACCAACCAACCAACCAACCAACCAAAAGCCCUUAAAGCCUGAUUCCAGUAAUAGGACUUCCUUGAAUAGGUCUAGAACCUUCCCAAUCAGCACUACCAGCUGAGGACCGAGUGUUCAAACCUAGGAGCCUAUGAGAACCAAGCACUUUAUGUUCAAACUACAGCAAGAGGUUUUCAAGAUAAUUAUUCAUUAAGUGAAUUAGUCACCAUUUAUGAACUUCUGUGAUUUUUUUUUUUUAUUUGUCAUGGUUUUUAAACAUUUAAACUGGUUGGCUGACCACAUCAAUCAAACCACCAUGAUGUUUUGAGUCCACUAUUUUGGACUCUGUAUUGAAAAAUAAAUUCCAG
ensembl:lncRNA